rnacentral:rRNA from 1 species
UACGUAGGGUGCGAGCGUUGUUCGGAAUUACUGGGCGUAAAGGGCGCGUAGGCGGCCUGCUAAGUCGAACGUGAAAUCCCCGGGCUCAACCCGGGAACUGCGUCCGAUACUGGCAGGCUUGAAUCCGGGAGAGGGAUGCGGAAUUCCAGGUGUAGCGGUGAAAUGCGUAGAUAUCUGGAGGAACACCGGUGGCGAAGGCGGCAUCCUGGACCGGCAUUGACGCUGAGGCGCGAAAGCCAGGGGAGCAAACGGG